AUAAAAGAGAAACAAACACAACCAUACCAAGAGAUACAAGAGACAAUCCCAACAGACACAAAGGCGGCAACAACAUUUCCACCUACUCACUCCUCUUGUCUUAUGAAAAUAGCUUACAUGUUCAAUGUCAACGGGCCAAUGUUAUUGUCUUCUUAUGAAAAAUACAUAUAUUCGUUUAAAACCCAUUAAGGUCCAAAUACUAAUUGUCACUCAUUUUAUAGUUAUUUCUACAAGUUUUCAUGUAUUUGUUUUAAAGGUCCGGUAAAAGCAACAAGUUUAAAAAUAAAAAAAAAACAUAUAACCAACAUAAUAAGAAUAAAAAUAAUUAUUACUUAAUACACACAACUUACACAACUAAACUUGAGAAAAAAUAUUCACAAACAAAAGGUACUCUCAACAACCUUAAUAUAAUUUAUGUAAUUUCAACAAUACAAGUAACAAAUUAAAAAAAACAAACAAACAAUAAGUCACAGUGACACAGGAAACAACACCACGAACUAUAUCAAUCAUAUUACUAAAACAUUUUAGUCCUUUAUGAGUGGAGAACAAUGCAUACACAAUUCAUCAUCACAACUCUAACCAUAUAACAAUAAAAAACUUGAAAAAUAAUAGUCAACUCAAAACGUAAAAUUUACAGCUACAAUAACUAUAACUAUAAGAAAUGAGAUGAAACAAGAACUCGGUCUACAAUCCCGUACUUGUGCGGAGUCAAUGUAACUAGUAAUAAUAAUGGCUCAUGAAAUUUUUCGAGACUGUACUAAAUAGCAAAGUCAACAUUUUCGUCUUAUACAACCACAUUGAAUCCGUAAUAAAUAAACCGAAUUUAUUGAAUCAAAGACAAAUAAAUCGUUGGUUUCAAUAGUAGUAAAAAGUCUGCAUGGUAAAAUUCUAUCUAUUCAAAUAUAUAUAUAUAUAUAUUAGUAUUAUUAUUUUUCUUACCAUAUGAUAGCAUAAAUUCUAUUCUAUAUAUUUUCUAUAAUCUGAAACUAUAAUAGUAAACAAUCUUAAAAGAAAAUAUAUUUUUCUUGAAGACCAUCUUUUUUAUAUUUACAAUUUGCAUUCCUUGUACUUUGCAAAGCUGUUUUUUUGUGUUAUGUAUAUUUCUUCAACUUCCUCUUUUUAGAUAUUCCUUUCAUCAUUUCCCCUAUCUCACAAAGAAUUAGUUCACAAAUUUUUUCCUUCUCUUUCAACAUUUAGGUGUACAUACAUUAUGAGCAAAAUAUUUAUUUUCAUCUCUAAGGAUAAACUAGAUUUUGAUCCGCGUUUUCAAAGCGCGGGAUCGUUUCCUUUUAAAUUUCAUUUAAAAUUGAUAAUAUUGUCUAACUUAAUAUUUUCAUAGAUUUUAUGUUUGUUUAUAGUCAAUUUCAAUAAAUUGUCCUCUUUCUUUACUAUUAUAAUUUUGCAUAUAUUUUAUGUUUGUUUAUAAAAGUGUCCUAUUUUUAUUAUAUUACUUUAUAAAUGAUCGUUCAAGUUUCCAAAAUGCUUAUUAAUUUUUUUCAAAGAUUUUAAAAUUGUAUACUUCUAAAUUCUAAUCAAUAAAUAUAAUUAUAUUUUAAUUUCUUAAUAAACUAUUAUAUUACAGAUUUCAUAAGCAUUUAAGUUUUUCAUUAUACAUAUUUCAACUAAGACAUAAAAUUUAAAUUAUAAUAAAACUUCAAUAAUUAUGGAUUUAAAAUGGAUUUAUAAUAUUCAUAAAAAACAAAACACUUUAGCGCUUGGUUUUAGUUGGGUUUAGUUUUGGUCAGACUAAAAUACUAACAAUUAGGUAUUUAGGUUAAGAGUAUAUUUAGGAAAACAUGUGCAGUAUGUUCUAAAAUAUAUACUUGAUAGGUUUUCUGAAUCAAAAUAUAGUUAGUAUCAUUACUGAGGUCAAUAUUUGCGGAUCCUAUAUUAAUAAUUAGCAAAUUGGGUGACAUUAUUUUGGUAACAUAUAUUACAUAUUUUUUAGACAUUCCGAUUUUUUUUCUAAAUACAAUUGAGAUGGUUGGCCAAGUUAAUUAAGUUAAACUCGCAGAAUAUCGUAGUGUCCAUAUAUUAAGGAAGUUGAAAUUGAUAUUUUACGAUUUUCUUGGUCAUCUUUAUUGAUUUUGUUUGUUACCCAAAAUUUAAAUUCUUGAAUUAACAAACAAAAAAUGAAAAUAUCUUAAAAUGAUGAAUGCUAUUCUUUAUUUCGUUAUUCACAUUAUAAAUUCAUUUGGACUACUUUAUAUUUCAUGAUCUUUGUAAAAAAAAUUCAUAGUGCUUUGCUCUCAAACAUGUUAAACAUAUCAUAAGCACUAAGUCAAACAAUAAGUGUUACAACAAUUAAUAAGGUUAAAUAAUAAUUGUAUAUAUUAGAAUUAUGCUUCUAUGGUUUGUAUAGUUACGAGUAUAUGCUUUCAACACAAACGUUAAUAAUUGUAUUAUGGAGUUCGGUUUUAUUUUUGGCAUAAGUAACGCUGAUAAAUGCUGUUGCAUUCAUUGUUAUUGGCUAUUAUAUUCUUCAUUCUGAUUGGUUUAUUAUGCUGGCCGAAUUUAAUCAAUAAAAUUAAUGUUAAUAAAAAAAAACAAUGGUAUGCCAUUGUAAAUAACUUCAAAAGUACGGACAGAAUCCUAGUAGGAAUUCAAUUUUAAUAGUAUAGAUAACUGAAGAUAGAUUUGAAGCCAAUCAUUCCUAGACUCUUUUUGAAAAUCUUUCAAUAUUUUAUUUAUAGUUUAAACCAUUGAACUGGAAAAUGGCCAAAACCAGUCCAAUGUAUUCAAAUAUGGUCAAUUCAUACCCAUCGAAUAUGACAGUGCCGAAACAUACCCGGACUAUUUUUAACUGAAAUUACAUACCUAAACAAUCUUUUUUGUGCCAAAACCUUCAAACAUAGCUUAAUAUGUUAACACCUGUUAAUCCACCGUUAACACAAACUUAAUUAAGUAUUACAUUUUUAGACAAAAUCUUUGUAAUUGAAACAAGAACCAAAACUCUUCUCGUCUCUUAUAAAAAACGAACAAAAGAUCCAAAAUGGAAGUAAUCAUAGUUUCUUAAUCGUAGAUUGAUAAAAGUCUUUGUAGUUUGUGUCUGAAACUCUUUCCAACAAUGGAUUCGAUGAGUGCCCCUUUUGAAGCAUGUUACACAUUAUACCACAAAGGAAAGUUUGAAGUGAAAGAUGGUAUCACUUGUUGAUAUUGUAUGUCCUCUCGAGACGAUGUUUACAAAGUUCUCGGAGGCAAUCUGUAUAUCAUUUGUCUUUUGUUGAUUAUCAGCACAAAUCUUGUAUGUUAAAUCUUGAUUAUCAGCUCAAGAUCACUGGCAAAUCUUGUUCAUUAGAACAAACAAACAACAGAUAAAUCAAACCUUACUCAAACUCUCUUUCCAAGUCAACGUAAGCCAUUAAUUCUCAUCACAAGAAAGUCUUUAAACGAUCUCUUUGGGGAGAGAGGGUUUAAAUCAACGAUGUUUUGUCCAGAUCUUGUUAGUAUCACAAAGUAAAACGACAUCGUUUUUUUUUAACAGACACAUAAGCUUCCGUCCACAAUCCGUUUGCCAGAUGUCAAAAUUGAAGGUUUUGGCCGAAAAAAGAUCGUUUAGGUAUGUAAUUUCAGUUAAAAAUAGUUUGGGUAUGUUUCGGCACUCUCAUAUUCGCUGGGUAUGGAUUGAUCAUAUUUGAAUACAUUGGUUUUGGCCGUUUUAACCUAUCUCUUUAAUCUACUUGUAACAUAUUGGGGAUGAUUGGUGUUGGAUGUGAGUGCUCUACGCAGCCAUUAUUCUCUCUAGAACAAUAAAAUCAAAGCAAUUAAGCUUUAUUAAUAAAAACUAAAGAUAAAGUCCAAAAUCUUUAAAAGAAAAUAUAAUGGCUCUAGAAAUCAAUUUUUGUACGAAUUUAGGUUUAAACUUUAACGUAAACACUAGUAUUAAAA